rnacentral:rRNA from 1 species
UACGUAGGGUGCAAGCGUUAAUCGGAAUUACUGGGCGUAAAGCGCACGUAGGCGGCUUUGUAAGUUAGAGGUGAAAGCCCGGGGCUCAACUCCGGAACUGCCCUUGAAACUGCAGUGCUAGAAUCUUGGAGAGGUGAGUGGAAUUCCGAGUGUAGAGGUGAAAUUCGUAGAUAUUCGGAAGAACACCAGUGGCGAAGGCGGCUCACUGGACUGGUAUUGACGCUGAGGUGCGAAAGCGUGGGGAGCAAACAGG